CCUGAUAGAUCCAACUGCAGUCUUCCAUGACUUAAGGAGGACAGGAGGGUACUUGGAGAAGAUAGUGACUGGUUGAUCUUAGGGGCUCACAGGGAAAUUACCAGAGGCAAUAAAUACAAGCUCUUGGAAUUAAUGGACUACCUCCAUGGGACAGAACUAUCAUUUUCUCUCAUUUCCCGCUUGCUGUGGUAUAAAAAAGCCAAAAAAUAUUAAAUUUCUUAAGAAUGCAGAAAAGGAAGCCAAAGAAGAAUAGAGAAGACAAAGGACAGUUGAGAACAUGAGAAGCCUUAAAAAAAUUGAUAUAUUAAGAAAACAUCUGUGAG